ACUGCAUUUGUGAUGACAUGGAGAUUAGGAAUAGGAUUAACUUCUAACAGCUAUAAUAGCCUUAUCAACUGUCACUCCCUUUGAAAGGAAAGGAUUCAUCUAGAAUGGGAGAGAAGCCCGAUCACAACAAAUGGGAAAGAUAAAAUCAAAAUCCCACACCGUAAAAUGUCACGUUGACGUUCGUUCAAGAAAAUGUAGUCGAUACCGUCUUGAAAUAUUUUAACCAUCUAUAAUAUAUUUAGAAUAUCUAUUGAAAUACUGGCCAGUGCUAUGGCCAGUUGGUGUGUAUCCGCCUCGUUCUCCGGUUGUCGUUUGAGAUAUCUCUCUUGAGACUGUCACAGACUGAAAACAGGCCAUCAUAUCAAGACAAAUCCUGCUGUGGACUAUCAGUGGUGCUCAGGUGCUGAGCGCAACAGAGCUGUUCGGUGCUCCAGCUAGCCUAUGAAACUUUGUUUCAGCAGGGUACUUCACUGGAAAUGAACGAUGACAGUAGACCUAUGAAUGAGUCAUGCCCUGAGUCCCCUAUUCCAGUUAGGUGACAACAAAACAAGAUUCAUUUGUGUCGUCAUCUUUGAGUGUCAUAACACUACAAAAAAAGCUAUAAAACCAAAAGGCUCCUCAUGGUGCUGCACUGUCCCUGGGUGGUGGAGAAGGCUCUGGCGGCAGGGGAUAGGGGUUACCACCAUGCUGUGUACAGAGCGCCGCUGGAUCCAGACACAGCACUACCUACAGGCUUCAAAAAACGGGAGGCUGUGGAAGGAUUUCCGUUUGACAGAAGCCAAUCAACUGAGACCAUACGGUCCUUAAAGCCACGGUGGACUCUGAUGCCCACUUCACACAGCUCAAGAUAACAGAUCGCUCUUCCGAUGAGAUGAGGAUUCAGAGAGAUAAAACCGUGAUGAUCAAGACAAGUCAAGGAAAGUUCAUCAAAAGUGCUCAACUUGUAGGUCUCUACAAUCUGUAAAGGGCUGUAAAUCUUGUAGGUCUCUCUACAAUCUGUAAAGGGGUGUAAAGCUUGUAGGUCUCUCUACAGUCUGUAAAGGGCUGUAAAGCUUGUAGUUCUCUCUACAAUCUGUAAAGGGGUGUAAAGCUUGCAGGUCUCUACAGUCUGUAAAGGGGUGUAAAGCUUGCAGGUCUCUCUACAGUCUGUAAAGCGGUGUAAAGCUUGCAGGUCUCUCUACAGUCUGUAAAGCGGUGUAAAGCUUGCAGGUCUCUCUACAGUCUGUAAAGGGGUAUAAAGCUUGCAGGUCUCUCUACAGUCUGUAAAGGGGUGUAAAGCUUGCAGGUCUCUACAGUCUGUAAAGGGGUGUAAAGCUUGCAGGUCUCUCUACAGUCUGUAAAGGGGUGUAAAGCGUGUAGGUCUCUCUACAGUCUGUAAAGGGGUGUAAAGCUUGUAGGUCUCUCUACAGUCUGUAAAGCGGUGUAAAGCUUGCAGGUCUCUCUACAGUCUGUAAAGCGGUGUAAAGCUUGCAGGUCUCGCUACAGUCUGUAAAGCGGUGUAAAGCUUGCAGGUCUCGCUACAGUCUGUAAAGCGGUGUAAAGCUUGCAGGUCUCUCUACAGUCUGUAAAGGGCUGUAAAGCUUGAAGGAGAAGACGGGUGCUUAAACUGUCUCCCCCAUUGGAACUCCUCAGGAAAGAGAGAGAUCCCAAUAGAAACCAGGUCUAGGUUUCAUCACCUCCUUUUGACGAGGCACUUGUAAUGACAGUUGAUGUAGACAGGAUGCGCGCCCCCACCCUAAAUUGCACUUUAAGCUUUCCAGAAGGUGACGCCUCAUAGCAAGGAUUGAACGUAUGUCAUUCAUGUAAAACGUGUACGGUUAAAGGGGAUGUGGCCGUUUUUAUCUUCAGACUGCACUGUGAUUAUUAUCAGAAUUAAAAACGCACUUUACGUAUGGUACUGUAUACCGUAAGGCUUUAAUGUGCACUCUUGCUGUAAGCUGUGUUUUCUACAUGUUUCGGGAGAGGCCAGAAGUGGUGCUGCUUCCUUCUGCCACGGUUGUGAAGCGGACCAAGUCAGCGUCAGUACAAAUAUGGAUCAUAACCGAGGUGCAGUAUCUUAGCUUAGGGGUAUGUUCAACUGGGCCACUUAUAAGCCCCUCAAUAACCUGCAGAUGGUUGCGCAAUACACAUUUCUACAGAGCAGUAUACUUUGUCUAAGCGCUUUGCUGAUUUUAACCAACAGAAUUGAGCCCAGCUGCAUUAGCUCUUGGCUCGAGUGACUUCUGGCGACAGCAAACUUUUGGUGGUUGUAGGAGUUUGGGAAAGGUUGGCCCGGGGUUCGCUAACCCUCCGCUCUGCGUGGAACCCAGUGGAGAUCAUCUGGUGAGGGUGCCUCGGCUGUUUGCUGUUGAUGUCGUUGUGAUUGUUGUUGUUGUGUACUGGACGGUCCAGGUGAGUUCCAGUUCACCAGGCCUGGAUCCACUCAGUGGGCCGGAUGCAGUGCUUCAUUGUCCUGCACACCAGGCCGUGCUCAUAUCCAUGCGUAACACACGCAGAGGCGCAGGCAGGCAGCAGCAUUCUCAUCUGGGUUUUCACACUUUCCCACCCUAAUGUAUCUACAUUUCACUGUUCAGUGAGCCCCAAAACGAACGGUUCCUUCCCUCCUGCAUGGCAGGUGAAAUUGUAUUAGGUUAGAGGAACCCUAAUUGGUUGAUCCAAUAUGGUAUGUAUUGACUUGGUCACAGCGAAGGCGAAACAGGAAACGCUGUAUCAGUCACAUCAGUAUCACUCUGACUCUACCUGUCAGCUUUGCCAUUAGCCUCCUUUCUUUUCACGAGGCCAAUUGACUGUUGCUGAUCAUACAUGUAACAUAUGAUAGAGCGAUACUCUGCUGGGCUUUACAACGGGUUGUCCAGAGGAUCCGUCGCAUCCUAGUAGAACCCGAAGGCCAAAAACAAGGGCCGUCACGUGGUGAGCGGAGCCGUUUGCCCCUCGAAGCGGAACAGACACCGCAGACGGGAUAUCCCUCAGUUCACUGAUUAGCCUUGUCCUGUUCCUAAUCCUUCCCUCUCGCCGCCGUGCCUGGAGGGCUUGAGAAGAGAUCUGUCCAUGUGAUCCACUGCCCCGUGUCGUCUUUAUCGGCGUGGGCGACACCAUUUUACAUAACGCCACGCCAGUUGAGUCACUUAGUAUGUUCCAAUUAGCCGUGACGCCAUGGACUUGACACACUCUAGAUGGGAGGGAUUCAGACGUAGCACUUAAUAGCAGGCCUAUUCCUUCUGGUAGGAUAUAUCCGCACCCUAGGCCAUGCUAAGCUAAUAGAUAUGCACUGUUCUAAUGCAGUCGGGCAAAGUAACGGUAGACUUCACAGAGUCGUGGUGUGAAACGUGGCUAUUGGUUCAUUACACAAUUGCCCUUUAAUGGCGUUCUCCUCUGGCCUCUGACUGAAACGAGACCCUGUUGGGGGAUGAGGUGUUUCUCAGUGGUCGUGAGGUCAUGGUCGCACCGCUGUCAACGUAAAAGGGAAUAAUAAUACGUCCGAAUGGAAGCUGAACUGUGAAAUCCCAUUCUCCCUGGCUCGGGAGCUCAGUGACUCGGACAGCCGCCUGACGCGAGUGAUCCACGGAGGGGAAGUGUCCCGUUUGUGACAUCGUGUUUCCUCUUCUGCCUCUUUUAACUCUCUCUCUCUCUCUUUCUCUCUCUCUCUUUCUCUUUCUUUCGCUCUCUCUCCUCCUCAUCCUCUUGCUGCGCUGUGCUAGACAGGGGAGAUCCUGAGUAAGGCCCUGCCCCAGCUCGGCCUGGCUGUCUCCUCCAUGACAGUCUCUUCUGGAGGACCCGGAGGGCUUCCUCAUACACAGAGGCCCACAUGCUCAACAUACGGAGAAGGUGCCCGCUAUACUUUCAUCUGGUACGUUUUGUCCACAUACACGUAAGUGAAUACAAAUGAAUGGACUUAUUAAUCACUCUGUCUGCCUUCGACCUCUGCAAAUGCACAGGAUCAAAAGGGCAGUCCAUUUCAACGGUGGAGCUUUGGAAAGGUGGCAGCAUUUUUCCAAAGGUUUGUUCUUUAUUAUUAUCAAGUGCCAAUACAAAGGAGGAAAGGAUUCUAAGGAUACCACAAGCAGAAAUUCCUGUACUCCACAUUCUCUCAUUUUUUGCAGUAUUUCUUUUGAAAACCGUAUUUUGAAACUACCUUGUCUC
rnacentral:lncRNA from 1 species